GGUUUUUUUCCCAAGCCAUCUUAGAGAGAUCUAUCAUGACAUUUUUCCUUAGUAUAAUUGAAUCUGAGACACUUAAAUGACCAGCUGCGGGAAAUGAGGCUUCUUUGAAUGCCAAGUGGCUGAGAACAGCAUCAAUACCAUUCAAAAAUAGACGAACUAAUUGAAGAAACUGUUAAAGAAAUGAUAACACUCUUGGUUGCAAAGUUCGUUACUAUCUUGGAAGGAGUGCUGGCAAAAUUAUCCAGAUAUGACGAAGGGACUUUGUUUUCCUCUUUUCUGUCAUUUACC
rnacentral:sRNA from 1 species